rnacentral:rRNA from 1 species
AUGGCCAACUCCUCCUCCGCAUCCUCACGCUUCGGCUUCGCCGCCGCCGCCCCCUUCUCCGACCAAGUGCUCGUGCCCAGGGAGGGCAUCAGGAUUCUGCCGUACAUCUCGCUAAUCAUAAUAUAUGGUGUUGGUUUGCAUCCUCCCUUGGCGGAUGUUGUCGGGAACACUCUCAUCGGUCUGUACACAGGCAGGAACUGAAGCCUCAACAAAAAGAUAGAGAACAUUUCAAAGGACAAGAUGUUCUUAACAUUCAACACUAGUAUACAGCCUACAAGAAAUAGUCCAUCAUCCAAACUGAUAAGAAGCUCCAACCUUGUUGAGCCCAACCUUGUGGGAAAGGAGGUAAUGUAUUCCAGCAAGAAGUUGGUGGAAUUAGUUCUUGCACACAAGGAAUACAAGUCCUACAAGAUUGGUAUUGUUGGAACCGGAGGAGUUGAAAAGACAACACUAGCGCAGAAAAUAUACAAUGACCAAAAAAUAAAAGGAAGCUUCAAGAUGCAUGCAUGGAUUUGUGUUUCACGAGACUACAAUGAAGUAAAUCUUCUGAAAGAGGUUCUUCGGAAUAUUGGUGUGCAUCAUGAGCAAGGUGAAACCAUAGAAGAGCUGCAGAGGAAGCUUGCAGAAACAAUUGAAGGAAAGAGUUUCUUUUUGGUUCUGGAUGAUGUGUGGCAUUCCAAUGUGUGGACGGAUUUACUAAGACCUGCAUUGAAUGAAACAACUGCCGGAAUAAUAUUGGUGACCACACGAGAUGAUCAAAUUACAAAGAGAAUAUGUGUAGACCAUACCCAUCAAGUUGAUCUCAUGUCAGUGGAGGUGGGAUGGGAGCUACUUUGGAGGAGCAUGAACAUUGAUGAAGAGAAAGAAGUGCAGAAUUUAAGAAAUACGGGGAUUGAGAUUGUUCGUAAAUGUGGUUGCCUUCCUCUUGCAAUCAAGGUUACUGCUAGUGCCUUGGCAAGUAGAGAUCUAACGGAGAAUGAGUGGAGAAAGUAUUUGAUCAAAUAUGUUGGAUCUGAGAGCAUCCUCUUGGAUGAAAUAGAAGAGGCUUUGUAUCUUAGCUAUGAUGAGUUACCGCAUCGUUUGAAGCAGUGUUUCCUUUAUUGUGCUUUGUAUGUUGAAGAUUCUGUCAUUGAACGUGAUGAAGUUACCUGGUUAUGGAUUGCUGAAGGCUUCAUCGAGGAGCAGCAAGAAAUAAAUCAGGUUCCAAAAGGCAUAGGGAAAUUGAAGUUCCUUACUUGUUUGAGAGAUUAUCCUGUUGGUGUUGGAAGUGAUAGUGCCGUUGUACAAGAUGGAUGGAAGUUGGAAGAGUUGUCUUCUUUGUCGCAGAUGAGGUAUCUUUGUCUUGUUAAAUUGGAAAGAGCAGCUCACAGCAGUAGAAAUGCAGUGCUUACGGACAAAAGACACCUACGAAAACUAACACUAGAGUGGACUGAAAGUGGAGAGGGGUCAUAUUCAGAAGAAGAUGUUGUAUCCCACUUGGUUUGGUACCACCUAUUUGUCUUCAUUAAUACACCUGAGACUCAGAAAUGUACGAGAUGUGUGGAACUUCCACCGAUCUGGCAGCUACCCAACUUGAAAUAUCUGAGAAUUGAUGGAGCGCAUGCAGUUACCAAGGUUGGACCUGAAUUUGUUGGUUGCAAGAAGGGUGAUCAUGUAUGUAAUGAGUUUGUUGCCUUCCCAAAACUUGAAUCGUUGAUCUUCGCAGAUAUGCCCAACUGGGAGGAGUGGUCUUUUUUUGAGGAAGAAGUUGUUGUUGCUGAUGUAAGCGGAGAGGAUGGAGCUGCUGAGAUCCGAAAAGAGGAUGCCCAACCUGCAAGGGUGCGAUUGCUGCCCCGUUUGUUGAAAUUGCAACUUCACGGUUGCCCGAAGCUGAGGGAUCUCCCGCAACAACUUGGAAAGGACACCCCCUGCUUGAAGGAACUCAGUUUAAGAGGACUAAACAACUUGAAGGCCAUGGAGGACCGCCCAGUCCUCUUUGAGGUCCUUAUUGGGUAUUGUGAAGGCCUUGAGAGGAUCUGCAACCUCCCUCAAGUGACAGAGCUGCGUGUAGGUGGUUGUCCAAACUUAAGCCAUGUAGAGGGGCUAGACAGUUUGCAACAGUUGUGGCUGGGCGAGGAUAUGCAAGAGGUCUCUUCACGCUGGGUGCCUGAGCUUCAGGAGCAGCACCAGCGACUUCAUGGUGAAGACCUGGAUGUCUACACGUGGCGUUAGAUGACGCAAG